rnacentral:lncRNA from 1 species
UAUUUGUGAUGUAACUCUUAUUUCCAUCGUAAAUACUUAAUUAUUUGUGAUGAAAUUCUUGUUAUAUCAUAAAUAAUUUAUUAUUUACGAUGAAAAUAGUAUUUCAUCACAAAUACUUUUAUUUAUGAUGAAAAUAUUUAUGUCAUAAAUAUGUCGUUAAAAUCUUAUUUUCUUAUUGUGAUAGUUUGUGCCGACGAGAAAGAGAGGGGGAGAG